rnacentral:rRNA from 1 species
GAUUGAACGCUGGCGGCAGGCCUAACACAUGCAAGUCGAACGGUAACAGGAAGCAGCUUGCUGCUUYGCUGACGAGUGGCGGACGGGUGAGUAAUGUCUGGGAAACUGCCUGAUGGAGGGGGAUAACUACUGGAAACGGUGGCUAAUACCGCAUAACGUCGCAAGACCAAAGAGGGGGACCUUCGGGCCUCUUGCCAUCAGAUGUGCCCAGAUGGGAUUAGCUUGUUGGUGAGGUAACGGCUCACCAAGGCGACGAUCCCUAGCUGGUCUGAGAGGAUGACCAGCCACACUGGAACUGAGACACGGUCCAGACUCCUACGGGAGGCAGCAGUGGGGAAUAUUGCACAAUGGGCGCAAGCCUGAUGCAGCCAUGCCGCGUGUAUGAAGAAGGCCUUCGGGUUGUAAAGUACUUUCAGCGGGGAGGAAGGUGUUGUGGUUAAUAACCACAGCAAUUGACGUUACCCGCAGAAGAAGCACCGGCUAACUCCG